GGGCUGAUAGCUCAGCUGGUUAGAGCACGCGUCUGAUAAGCGCGAGGCCGGUGGUUCGAGUCCACCUCCGCCCACCA
rnacentral:tRNA from 1 species